AUGAAUCAGCAUCGGCUAACUCCGUGCCAGCAGCCGCGGUAAUACGGAGGAUGCAAGCGUUAUCCGGAUUUAUUGGGCGUAAAGCGUCCGCAGGUGGUUUUUCAAGUCUGCUGUUAAAGCGCAGAGCUUAACUCUGUAACGGCGGUGGAAACUGAGAGACUAGAGUAUGGUAGGGGUUGCGGGAAUUCCCAGUGUAGCGGUGAAAUGCGUAGAUAUUGGGAAGAACACCAGCGGCGAAAGCGCGCAACUGGGCCAUUACUGACACUCAUGGACGAAAGCUAGGGGAGCGAAAGGGAUUAGAUACCCCUGUAGUCCUAGCUGUAAACGAUGGGUACUAGGUGUUGACCGUAUCGACCCGGUCAGUGCCGUAGCUAACGCGUUAAGUACCCCGCCUGGGGAGUAUGCACGCAAGUGUGAAACUCAAAGGAAUUGACGGGGGCCC
rnacentral:rRNA from 1 species